CAAUAGCGUAUAUUUAAGUUGUUGCAGUUAAAAAGCUCGUAGUUGGAUUUUGGAUGGGAUUUGCCGGUCCGUCGUUACGAUGUGCACUGGCCAGUCCUAUCUUGUUGUCGGGGACUAGCUCCUUGGAUUCACUUCCUGGGACUAGGAGCUGACGAGGUUACUUUGAGUAAAUUAGAGUGUUCAAAGCAAGCCUACGCUCUGAAUACAUUAGCAUGGAAUAACACGAUAGGACUCUGGCUUAUCUUGUUGGUCUGUGAGACCAGAGUAAUGAUUAAGAGGGACAGUCGGGGACAUUCGUAUUUCAUUGUCAGAGGUGAAAUUCUUGGAUUUAUGAAAGACGAACUUCUGCGAAAGCAUUUGUCAAGGAUGUUUUCAUUAA
rnacentral:rRNA from 1 species